ensembl:lncRNA
AUGACCCGCAGGCGGGAAGGCGGGGGCGGGUCUGCCCGGAGACCGGUGACGCUGCGGCAGGAGCCCGGUUCCCAUUGGCCGGUCCCUAGAAUGACCGUUAACGGCAGAAGGGCGGAGGAAACGGUCAGGGGAGAUUCUGCCCGGAGACCGAUGACGCGGAGAGGAGGGCGGAUUCCCAUUGGCGGAUCUUGGACGUUUGGAGGCAAAGAAAGGAGGCGCGUCUCUGUCUGUCUGUGUCGGGCUCUGUUCGAGUGCCGCGAAGCCCCGCCCCUCUGUGGGCAUCCUUCCCGCGGCUGCCAUGUUAGGCCCGGGCGGAAGUCCAGCGAGGAAGGGAGGCCUCUUCCUAGAGAGGCUGAGGACGAGAGGGGGCGGGUGAGCGCACUUCCGGAGGAGAGAGCGAGUGAGACAAAGGAAGAAGAGGGCGGAGGAGGAGUAUUUACACCAUGCCCAUCUCGCCCCGAAGGGGACUCAGAGCGGCUUACAGAACCCACAAUGCUUGAUUAUACCAUCAACAAGGACAGACAACACAGACAGAGGUAAAGACAGUUUUCCCCAUCUUAUUUCCAGCAUCUUAGAGGCUGUGCUCUGGCCACGGGGAGGGGGGGGGGGUGCUGUCGCUCCAUCUUCCAUGCCGAGGAGCUUCCUCCCAAUCAAUGUCCUUAAAGACACCCUUAUUACCUCCCUGCUGAGAGUGGUACCUAUUUAUCUACUCACAUUUCUGCUUUCAACCUGCUAGGUGGACAAGUGAGUUGGGGCAGCACACAGCGGUUUAGCCUGCUGUGCUAAGCCUGGCCCCAUCUAUCUAUACACAUAAUAAAAGUGAAACUCUGUAUGUGUGUAUGUGGCACGGGUGUCCGCUCACACAGACAGCCUCUGGCCUCCACAAACAGAAUGUAGUUCCCAGUGCUGUGGAGUCACCAAGUCACUCCCUCCCAGGACAUGGCAGGUUACAGCGAGCACAGCCCAGUUUUCCUUUCUCUCUUCAUUUGCAUGACCCUGCCCACUGCCUCUCCCUUAACCCUGUCCUGCCCUUUCCUAUGGCACAUAGCAAACAGAGGGAUUGAUUAGCAACUGAACAUGCUAGAGAGAGAGGUUUGGGGAGAAUUCACCAUGAUUUGUAGGAGUUGUAAGGACUGGGAUGUAUAGUUCACCUGCAGUCUAACAGAACUCUGAAUCCCACCAACGAUGGACCAGAACUAACUUGGCAGACAGACCCAACAUGGCCCCAUUUGCAUACUGGCAGGGUUUGACGGUGAUAGGCCUUGGCAUCCAGGAGUUAUAGUUCAACCCUUCUGAUGAUGGAUCUGGAUCGAACUUGGCACACAAAUUCAACAGGCCCAACUGGGAAUACUGGUGGACUUUGAAGGUGGUUGACCUUUAUCUCUGGAACUUAUAGUUGCCCUGUAUUCCGUGAGCCCUCUGAACCCCACCAAUCAUAGAAUCCUAGAACAAUAGAGUUGGAAGAGACCUCCCGGGCCAUCCAGUCCAACCCCCUGCUAAGAAGCAGGAAAUCGCAUUCAAAGUGAAGGGGGUUUCUUACAUUGUAUUUAAACAAACUGAAGGAGAGCAGCAGAGCCAUGUCCUGGAUGCAAACCGAAGCAGUUCUUUAAAGAUACCAAAAGAUAUAUUUAUAUCCAAAGAUGUUAGGCUGAUGUAUAAAUAAAAUCAAUCCAAGGUGUUUCUAAAAUAAUACAAAGAAUAAACAUAAUUUCAAUAGACUGAACACAUGCCAAUUCCAGUUAUGAAGAUUAAGUAAAUUACACAAGUAAAUUACAAAAUUUGAAAAAUGUUCUGUUCCUGGUUUGAAAGUAUUCUUUCCUGUUUCAUUGUGCCGUCCUUACUUGGAAAGGAGUUGUUAACUCCAGAAACUUGGUUUGUGUGGUCUCUUCCUUGGGCGUUUUGUUUCCUGUGCAGCAUUCAGCAUUUGCUUCAAAGGUCUCGACAACCCGUCUCUCCUCGUAUAUUCCAACUGUUUUUGCAGAGAUUCGGUUUGGCCUCUUCUUCCGGCCCCAGAUCUCUUCUGUAGGAUCUCCCAUCUUAAUUUGGGGCUUCUCUUGUUCCAGCUGUGUGUUUUGUCGCUGGAUUUCUGUCUGGCGUCCAUUCCGUAAUGGUUCCCUCUGGAUUCCUUCUUUGUGAUCCUUGAUUUGUCUUCAAUUUAUUCUUUCAUUUUUUCCUCCUUUUUGGCUCCUCCUUCUCAUAUUGCUUUUCCUAUUUCCGUUGUCUUUCUUUGGGGUCCACUAGAGAAUUCUUCAAGAUGGGAUUUAUUUGAUCCAGCUUAUUGUUGGCACAACAAUUAACCCAUUCAGAAUUUCAAGUGGCUUCAUAACUUCUAUACGUUCAGCCAAUAUCUUAUUGAGAUGUUUCCCUUUCUCCAUUUUAGGAGGUUUCAACUGAACGUUGGAUUUGUUAUGUGAGCACUUUUAUCCAAUAGAUGGCAUAUUUUGAUAAGUUUUCAAAUAAAUGUUUUUUCUAAACAAGCUCCACUAUAGGGUAACAGUUUAAAUUAUUAUAAUCAAUUACUUGCUGGUAGAGAGUGAUUAUUUCAUUGUUUCCUUCCCUUCUCCUUCUUUAAAUACUCUUUGAUUCCAAGGGGGUCUUGAGGGAAGGUAAUCUGGCUGGGAAAGUUGGUCCGGGGUCGGCAGUAUAGCUGAAAACAGCGGCAACUAUUAUGUGUGUGCACUUCCCUCCUAGAAUCAUAGAAUAGUAGAGUAGGAAGAGACCCCAUGGGCCAUCCAGUCCAACCUCUCGCUAAGAAGCAGGAAAUCGCAUUCAAAGCACCCCCGACAGAUGGCCAUCCAGCCUCUGCUUAAAAGCCUCCACCACGGCACGGGGCAGAGAGUUCCACUGCCCAACAGCCCUUCUCACAGUGAGGAAGUUCUUCCUGAUGUUCAGGUGGAAUCUCCUUUCCUGUAGUUUGAAGCCAUUGUUCCAUGUCCUAGUCUCCAGGGCAGCAGAAAACAAGCUUGCUCCCUCCUCCCUAGGACUUCCCCUCACAUAUUUGUACAUGGCCAUCAUGUCUCCUCUCAGCCUUCUCUUUUGCAGGCUAAACAUGCCCAGCUCUUUAAGCCGCUAGACCCUCUAGACCAGGGGUCCCCAAACUAAGGCCCGGGGGCCGGAUGCGGCCCUCCAAGGCCAUUUACCUGGCCCCC